GUGGCUCAGUGGUAGAGUGCUUGCCUUGCAUGCAAGAGACCCUGGGUUCGAUUCCUCAGC
rnacentral:tRNA from 1 species